rnacentral:rRNA from 1 species
CUACGUGCCAGCAGCCGCGGUAAUACGUAGGUGGCGAGCGUUAUCCGGAAUUAUUGGGCGUAAAGAGCUUGUAGGCGGUUGGUCGCGUCUGCUGUGAAAGGCCGGGGCUUAACUCCGGUUUUGCAGUGGGUACGGGCUAACUAGAGUGCAGUAGGGGAGACUGGAAUUCCUGGUGUAGCGGUGGAAUGCACAGAUAUCAGGAGGAACACCGAUGGCGAAGGCAGGUCUCUGGGCUGUAACUGACGCUGAGAAGCGAAAGCAUGGGGAGCGAACAGGAUUAGAUACCCUGGUAGUCCAUGCCGUAAACGUUGGGCACUAGGUGUGGGGGACAUUCCACGUUUUCCGCGCCGUAGCUAACGCAUUAAGUGCCCCGCCUGGGGAGUACGGCCGCAAGGCUAAAACUCAAAGGAAUUGACGGGGGCCCGCACAAGCGGCGGAGCAUGCGGAUUAAUUCGAUGCAACGCGAAGAACCUUGCCAAGGCUUGACAUGC